UACGGAGGAUCCAAGCGUUAUCCGGAUUCAUUGGGUUUAAAGGGUGCGUAGGCGGGCAGGUAAGUCCGUGGUGAAAUCUCUGAGCUUAACUCAGAAACUGCCAUGGAUACUAUUUGUCUUGAAUAUUGUGGAGGUAAGCGGAAUAUGUCAUGUAGCGGUGAAAUGCUUAGAUAUGACAUAGAACACCAAUUGCGAAGGCAGCUUACUACACAGUUAUUGACGCUGAGGCACGAAAGCGUGGGGAUCAAACAGG
rnacentral:rRNA from 1 species